GUCUAAUGUCACAUUACAUUACAAAUUACAAAUAAAUACAGGACUUGCAGGCAACACCUAAACUAACGAUGACACAAAGACGGAUUGACAGGAGAGGAGAACAGAACUAACGUCCCAAUUGACAAUUGCCUUGUUUCUGUCCAUGAUAAUCGAAAAAAAUUCUCAUCUCAAACUCUGAUUGUAUGUUAUAGAGUGAAGAGUAAGACAUUCAAGAACUUUGUAUUAAAGUGGAGCAAUGCCUCCACCACCCCCACCACCACCUGGACCACCUCCACCUCCAAGUGCUGUUGCUACACGUCCACCGCCCAAGACAAAAAGCAGAGGAGCUCUACUAAGUGACAUACACAAGGGUGCAAGGCUCAAGAAGACAGUCACCAAUGACAGAAGUGGACCAACUAUUGAUAGUAAGCAUCUCUUUUAAAUAUUUUGUCAGACGUUCAUCAAUAAUGCUGCCAGAAAUUUGUAUCCUACAAACACUUAGGGAGUCCCCGCCAUCUGGGCCAUCAUACCCAGUGAAAUUUUCCCAUUUUAGGGUUUGCGAGAUGCUACUGUAUAAGUCUGUAUUUCGUGCAUUUUAGACACGUUUUAUGAUAAUCUGGAAGCCCCAGAUUUGGUAUAUUUAAUGGCAGAGGUGAAAACCUUAGCCCCCCCUGCUCCAGUUACUCCUAAGUUUUUGAAGAAUUGCAAAAUUGGUCCCGAAGAAAGGGUCCGAACCCCUCCAUUCCCCUGUGGCUAUGCUCCUGAAUAUAAAUAACAAUAUAAAUAUAAUACAUUAUUAUACUCACAUAUGCAAUUGACCAAUCACAGGAUUUUAAUGACUAAUGAGGUUAUACAUGUAUGCCUUAUUGGUCCUUUUUUUUGUAUAUCGAACCUUUUCAGGUGUUUUGUAAAUUCUGAAAUCUUUUUGUUGAAAACAUCCAGUAGGUGC